CCUACGGGGGGCAGCAGUGAGGAAUAUUGGUCAAUGGACGAGAGUCUGAACCAGCCAAGUAGCGUGAAGGAUGACUGCCCUAUGUGUCGUAAACUUCUUUUAUAAGGGAAUAAAAUGUUCCACGUGUGGGAGUUUGUGUGUACCUUAUGAAUAAGGAUCGGCUAACUCCGUGCCAGCAGCCGCGGUAAUACGGAGGAUACGAGCGUUAUCCGGAUUUAUUGGGUUUAAAGGGAGCGUAGGUGGAUUGUUAAGUCAGUGGUGAAAGUUUGCGGCUCAACCGUAACAUUGCAGUUGAAACUGGCAGUCUUGAGUACAGUAGAGGUAGGCGGAAUUCGUGGUGUAGCGGUGAAAUGCUUAGAUAUCACGAAGAACUCCGAUUGCGAAGGCAGCUCGCUGGACUGCAACUGACACUGAGGCUCGAAAGUGUGGGUAUCAAACAGGAUUAGAUACCCUAGUAGUC
rnacentral:rRNA from 1 species